rnacentral:rRNA from 1 species
GACGAACGCUGGCGGCGUGCUUAACACAUGCAAGUCGAACGCUGAAGCUUGGUGCUUGCACUGGGUGGAUGAGUGGCGAACGGGUGAGUAAUACGUGAGUAACCUGCCCUUGACUCUGGGAUAAGCCUGGGAAACUGGGUCUAAUACUGGAUACGACAUGUCACCGCAUGGUGGUGUGUGGAAAGGGUUUUACUGGUUUUGGAUGGGCUCACGGCCUAUCAGCUUGUUGGUGGGGUAAUGGCUCACCAAGGCGACGACGGGUAGCCUGCCUGAGAGGGGGACCGGCCACCCUGGGACUGCGACACGGCCCAGACUCCUACGGGAGGCAGCAGUGGGGAAUAUGGCACAAUGGGCGGAAGCCUGAUGCAGCGACGCCGCGUGCGGGAUGACGGCCUUCGGGUUGUAAACCUCUUUCAGCACGGAAGAAGCGAAAGUGACGGUACGUGCAGAAGAAGCGCCGGCUAACUACGUG